GGCCAUAGCUCAGUGGCAGAGCAUCGAUCUUGCAUGCGAAAGGUCCCAGGUUCAAUCCCCAAGUAGGGCUG